rnacentral:rRNA from 1 species
UACGAAGGGGGCUAGCGUUGCUCGGAAUCACUGGGCGUAAAGGGCGCGUAGGCGGCAGGCCAAGUCGGGAGUGAAAGCCCGGGGCUCAACCCCGGAAUGUCUUUCGAAACUGGCCAGCUGGAGUGCGGAAGAGGCAACUGGAAUUCCCAGUGUAGCGGUGAAAUGCGUAGAUAUUGGGAAGAACACCUGAGGCGAAGGCGGGUUGCUGGGCCGACACUGACGCUGAGGCGCGAAAGCCAGGGGAGCAAACGGG